rnacentral:rRNA from 1 species
GAUGAACGCUGGCGGCGUGCCUAAUACAUGCAAGUCGAGCGAACAGACGAGGAGCUUGCUCCUCUGACGUUAGCGGCGGACGGGUGAGUAACACGUGGAUAACCUACCUAUAAGACUGGGAUAACUUCGGGAAACCGGAGCUAAUACCGGAUAAUAUAUUGAACCGCAUGGUUCCAUAGUGAAAGACGGUUUUGCUGUCACUUAUAGAUGGAUCCGCGCCGCAUUCGCUAGUUGGUAAGGUAACGGCUUACCAAGGCAACGAUGCGUAGCCGACCUGAGAGGGUGAUCGGCCACACUGGAACUGAGACACGGCCCAGACUCCUGCAGGAGGCAACAGUAGGGACUCCUACGCGAGGCGCGAAUGCCUGACAGAGCACAGCCGGGUGAGUGAUGAUGGUCUUCGGAUCGGAGAGCUCUGUUAUUAUGGAGGAACAAAUGCGCAAGUAACUAUGCACGUCUUGACGGUACCUAAUCAGAAAGCCACGGCUAACUACGUG